rnacentral:rRNA from 1 species
GAUGAACGUUGGCGGUGUGCCUAAUACAUGCAAGUCGAACGGAGACUGUAGCAAUACUGUCUUAGUGGCGAACGGGUGAGUAACGCGUUGGUGAUCUGCCUCGAAGUGUGGAAUAACCUCCCGAAAGGGAAGCUAAUACCGCAUAGUCUCUCAAGGUUUAGAAAAUUGAGAGUAAAGGAUUUAUUCGCUUCGAGAGGAGCCUGCGUCCCAUCAGCUAGUUGGUAGGGUAACGGCCUACCAAGGCAAUGACGGGUAGGGGACCUGAGAGGGUGGCCCCCCAAAUGGAACUGAAACACGGUCCAUACACCUACGGGUGGCAGCAGUAGGGAAUAUUAGUAAUGGGCGAAAGCCUGAACUAGCAACGCCGCGUGUGCGAAGAAGGCCUUCGGGUUGUAAAGCACUUUUUGAGAGGAUGAGGAAGGACGGUACUCUCAGAAUAAGUCUCGGCUAACUACGUG